AAGGGAGAAGUGCACUAGAUGGCGCGAGUGUCUUUGUUAAAGACGAAAUUUCGCCAUUUGCUUUUCUGCACUUUUCGAUAACGAUCGUUACGUACUCCAGUCAUGUUGCAGUCCUUUAUUUCCUGAAAUUCUUCGUCUUAAAAAUCGUAAAAAUCUACUUGCAAUUUCAUCGUAUGGCCCGAAAGGCCGAAACUGCUGUACAUUUUGCCAAAAUGUCGUCUCUUGCUGCAUGCAUGGAUGUACGUUUCCUGAGUCGUCACAUUCAGAAACACUUAAGAACAGUUACAGUUAUUUAGGAAAUCAUGUCCAUUGGACCAAAUCUUUUGAUUAUGUUGCAUGACGGAUGUCCAUUUUGCCAAAAUAUCAUCUCUUGCUGUAUGUCUCUUCCCAUGCUGAAGCACUCACUAACUGCAAAAAAUUUCAGAUAAGUUUACAUUGCAUAUGCUUUUACAAACAAGUAGGAAAAUCUUGACAGCGGAAGAAUCCAUGUAAAAUUUUCUCAUGAUUGAAGUCCAGUAGAGCUGUUGCAUGCAGUUUGUUGUGCUGGUGUUUUUACAUUCUCUAGUUAUUGAAGUCUUCACCAGAUUCAAUUCUUUACUACUCUUUGAUCUGGACAAACAAAAAAAAUUGUCCCUCUUGAAAGGUGAUCACCAUUUGAGCUUUAAUUAAGGACAAAUCUAGGAUUGAUUGAUCAGAGGUUAAUCCCUCACCGUUGUUUAAUGAAGGGAGUCAGCGGUGGUGUGGCUCUGCAGUACUAAGCCAAUCACAUGGCGCAAAAUGAAUUGUCCCUUACGACCAGACGAUGGAGCAGAUUGCCUUACCCAUUCCGUAAAUGUAUGUAUGUGAGUAUUUUACCAACAAAAGAAAAGUGCGCAUCUUCAACACGGCGGACGACCAGGGAUCGAAAAUGGCCGUCUUUUUUUUAAGGAGUCGACAUGUUUAACAAAAUGAAAUGUAGAAGAAAUUGCGCGAACAGCCGUUUCUCUUUUGGGUCAGCUCGCACAAGUCCAUCUGGAGUCAAAUCCUCUUCAGUUUGGCCGUCAUUAUCAACUUGGUUGUCGCCUUCUUUUACCCGAUUGACACUGACGGACCGGCUCCUGAUCCAUUAGCAUUUGAAACUGCUCUAGCAUUGCCACUUUGAAGCAAACGACCUUUGUUCCUUCUCUACGAGAGGCACCUUGUAGAGGAAUCUCGUGCUGGUGUAGGAAUCCCAACUCAACCGUCGUCUGCUUCACACCCAUGUUCGACACAGUUCGUCAAAUCAAACAUGUACUAAUGAAGAGGAGUAAUUCCAAACCACACUUGCACGGUGUUAGUUAGACCACAACCUUUUACCAGCCUCCAUAAAAGAAAGGAUUCACCAUUGGACUCUUUACUUUUUUCUAG
rnacentral:lncRNA from 1 species